AUUGAACGCUGGCGGCAGGCCUAACACAUGCAAGUCGAACGAGUGGCGGACGGGUGAGUAAUGUCUGGGAAACUGACUGAUGGAGGGGGAUAACUACUGGAAACGGUAGCUAAUACCGCAUACCAUCGGAUGUGCCCAGAUGGGAUUAGCUAGUAGGUGGGGUAAAGGCUCACCUAGGCGACGAUCCCUAGCUGGUCUGAGAGGAGGACCAGCCACACUGUAAAUGAGACACGGGCCAGACUCCUAGGGGAGGCAGCAGGGGGGAAUAGUGCACAAUGGGCGCAAGACUGAUGCAGCCAUGCCGGGUUUAUGAAGAAGGCCUUCGGGUUGUAAAGUACUUUCAGCGGGGAGGCGUUACCCGCAGAAGAAGCACCGGCUAACUCCGUGCCAGCAGCCGCGGUAAUA
rnacentral:rRNA from 1 species